GCGCGGGAAGCCUCCUUUUAGCUUUGCUGCUGGACCGAAUACAGAAGAGGGGGAAACGGCGCGCGAGGCCCCUACUGUCAGAGCUGAAGAAGCUUCUUGGAUGAGAAGUGAAACAUCUUCAAAAGAAAAAACAAGAAAGUCCAGUUGCUGCCUGAAAAAGCACCUUUGGGACAAUCAUGGGACCUGGAUGACUGAGAAUCUCUACAGACUUUUAGCUAUACAAUUUGGGAUGAACAGCCUUUGAAUGGUGUCGGAGUAGGAAUGGAUUUCCAGAGAAAAAACUGCAGACUACAGGAACCAGGAGCACUACUCAGGUGACCCUGAGGACACAGAUAAACCUCCAAGUGCUUCAAGGACCCCCUAAAACAGGCAUCCUCAAACUACGGCCCGCGGGCCAGAUACAGCCCACAAAUGCAAAGUAUCCAGCCCACAGAGUGGUGGGAUUCAGCCCCACCCCUCACCCCACUGUUGGCCUUAUCUUCCAGUGAUCAUCCACUCCAGCUGCACUUUUGGUUAGUUAUUUUACCGGUUGAGCUGCACUGCUGAUCACAUGCUGCUGUCGAAGGUAAGGCCGAAGGGUGGGGGGGAGGGCCAGCUGACUGAGGGGUAAUCUCGCCAGUGCAGCCAUGUAAUCCAGGGUGGAGUGAGUAGGGGAGGGGUUGUUGCUGCCUUGAAAAACAACUGCCAGCAUGUCAAGUAGCUUUAAAAGUCUUUAAAAUGCUUUAAAAAUACUUUUAUAACAGCCUUUCAGGGUGUUUUUCACUGCCAUGUGAUCCAGGGCAGGUGGGUUGAGUAGGGGAGGGGCUGCUUUUAAAGUAGCCCUUUAAAAGUGGGUGGGCGGGGGACAUGUCUCCUAGCUUUUUCAAAAUCAGCUGAAGUUGGCUAACACUAAUUCAAAUGCAACUUCAGUAUAAUACUUGAAGGAGAAUUCACCCACUGCUUUGAUUCUUGCCAUAUAUAAAGUACAUCCACCAAAUUGGUUGCUGAACAAUUUUGGUAGGUAUUCAUGUGUGUGUAUACACAUGCACAAGUGUGGCAAAAAGCAAAUCAGUUUGUGAAUUCUCCUCCUAUCUUAAAAGACCUUUAGCCCUGUAAUCCCAAAUAAUUCAAAAAAGGAGGCUGGUCUCCUAUCCCUUCCCUGGCUGUCUCUCCUGCUGGCAGGCACUCACAGGUCAUCUGAAAUAUAUGAUCAGGAGUUAUUUUGAAUGAAAUACUGUUUGUUUUAUUCUUUUUUUAAAUGGCCUAUUUUAAGGAGCCUGAAGCUGCUGUUGUAAUGAAGUUAGGCAAGUGGCAAGAAAGUUUGCACUCUUUUUCUCUUUUGUGUGUGUGUGUGUGUGUGUCAAGUAAAUAGAUUCCUUGGGUUGAGCAAGUACAGCAAGGACAAAGGCAAAAAGGCAAAAUGGAGUGCUAAAUUGGCCACGCCCACCCAGUCACAUGACCACCUAGCCACACCCACUCAGCCGGUCUGGCCCCCCCCCAACAAUCUGAGGGACUGAGGAAUUGGCCCCCUGUUUGAAAAGUUUGAGGAUCCCUGCUCUAAAAGAUUGCAAAUUACCAGCUGUCUGCAAGGAAUAUAAAUCCUUCCAUUCCCCACUAUCCUGUUAGAGCUGAAGAAGCUUCUUGGAUGAGAAGUGAAAUGUCUUCAAAGAAAAACCAGAAAGUCCAGUUGCCCCCUGAAAAAGCACCUUUGGGACAACCAUGACCUGGAUGACUGAGAAUCUCUACAGGCUGUUGGGAUAUACAGUGUACAGUUGUAAGUGUUAGAACAACCAACAGCGUCAAUGAAAAUUCUAAAAAAUGCCCUGUCUCCAGGGCUGCAAACUGUCAAACUAUCUAGCUCAGGGGUAUCAAACUCAAGGCCCGUGGGCCGGAUCCAGCCUGCGGGGUGCUUAGAUCCCACCCUUGGGGCCAGCCUGGAAAUUGUAAAGGACUGGCCUGUGGUGCCUCUACUAGCCAAAAUGGGGCAUAUCCCCCUGUGCUCCAUUUUGGCUGCCAGGAUGGUGGAGGAGGCCAUCCAGGCCCAAAAUGGGGUACAGGGGGGCAUUGCGUGCCCCCCCCACAUACCCUGUUUUGGCUGCCAGAGUGCUGCAGAAAAAUAGUUGGGCAAGAAAAUAGUUAGGAACACAGAAGAAAAAGAAUUGAUCAGGAAAGCAUUUUUUCAAAAAAGGAGGUGGUCAAAAAGAGCUGAGUCCAAAUAUAAGGUGCAGGGGAACACACUGUCACAGAAUGAGAAUGAGAAAAGCAGUUUAAAAAAAAAACUAUGGACUGGAUAACAAACUCCAGUUGCAAGGAAAUCCCUCUUCCAGGGUCAAUUUCUUAAGGCAGUGAAAUUGGGCACAUUGUUAGGAAAUGGUUAUUUGUCUAACUAGUUGGUCAGGCAAUAUAUAAACCAACAAUAUAUGUUUGCAGUCAGAAAGGUAUUAUAUUGCUUUAAGACUGUAUUGCAUCAUCCUGUAUCCUGAUUGGCUAAGCUCUGUAGCCAAUGUACUUAAGGAAAGUCUGAAUCAUGGCUUGUGUGGAUACUACACCAUUUUACUUGCUUACUUGCUUACUUGCUGUAACUCUCUACCUGAUCUCUCUGCAUGAUCACUGAUCAUAGAUAUAUGUUGCUUUCUACUAUUUAUUGAAUGUUUUAUAUUGAAUUUGUUCCUGUUUUGAAACUCAAGAAGAACUGUUUUAUUGUCUAUGACAACAACUGAUAAGAAGACUUUGUACUUGGAAUAUCCCUGAAUUGAUACUUUAUUAUUGCCUUAUCUGUGUAUGACUUGGAUUGUUUUGGACUUUGCUUUACUUUUUUCUAAAAAGUAAAAGACUAACACAAUUCAGUGUGUUUGUAUGUUAACUGUGAUUGUUCACAACCACUCCCAAUCACUUUUCAUGUGUAUACUCACAGGGUAUUCUGCUCAAUCACCCACAACAUUGGUUAUGAGCUGAGAAUAUCCUUAAUGUUUUAAAUUUUUGGGCCACAGUUAUUUAAUUCUUUUAAUAAUUUUAAAUUUUGUAUUGAUAUGUGUUUUAGUUCUGGCUAUGCACCGCCCUGAGUCCACUUGGAGAAGGGCGGGAUAUAAAUUGAAUAAAAUAAAAUAAAAUAAAAUAAAAUAAAAUAAAUAAAUAAAUAACACACAUGAUAUAAUUUUUUGCACUGGCAAGUUUAAGAGGUUUCUAAUUUAGUAAAUUUUGACACCUAAUUUUGCUUCACUGAUACUUGUUGAGAGGACUGGACGACUUCUGAUGUGGCAGAGAGGACAACAGAAGGGAUCCUUGAGGCUACACAGACACAACUUUAGGAAGUUUUAAUCUAUCUGAAUUUUGCCUACAACUAGUCAAGGCAAGAUGAUCUUCUCCUUCGCAGUAUUUCUUUCCUUUCUCUCAUUCAGCCUUUUUCUAACCCCAACCUUUCACUGUAGUUUCUAGUUUUUUUUGUUUUUUUUUUAAUAUGCCGCCCUUCUCCGGAGACUCAGGGUGGCUUACAAUGUGUUAAGCAAUAGCCUUCAUACUUUUGUAUAUUUUAUACAAAGUCAGCUUAUUGCCCCCACAAACCAGGUCCUCAUUUUACCCACCUUAGAAAGGAUGGAAGGCUGAGUCGACCUUGAGCCUGGUGAGAAUUGAACUCGCAGUAAUUGCAGGCAGCUGGAUGUUAAAUGCUGCCUUAGUAGGAGGCAUUAGCCUCCUACGCCACUCAGGCUUCUAAUUUGCACCCAUUGUCAUUUUUUCCUAUAGCCAGAAGGGUUUUUUCCCUUGCUUGGGUAGUUCCCUUGGCUGGGCUGAGUCUCCUUUUCUUUCUUCCUCGGAGGUUUCCUCUGCAUCCUCCUGUUGUGACUUUUGCUUCUCAACUCACUUUUUCUCUUCUUUCUGAAACUAUUCAGAAAAUCAUAUCCCCGCCUCACCACCCACUUUCUGUUUCAUAUUCCACAGAGAACUAAUUAAACAUGUUCUUUUUAACAAAUUCUAUUUGUCACAGAAAAGGGACUAGUGGCUUGGCUGAGUUUUCUAGAGUCCUAUGUUGUUGACUUGGAUUCUUCCUCUUUCUCUUUUUUUCCCCUUUGUGGUCUUUAUGACUACUUCCUAAACUUGCACCCACAUCCUUGAAGCUGUUUGUCAUAUUACUGAGUUCAUUAUCUUCCUCCCCAGCUUUUACACACAUACUUCAACUAAAGUCAAAUUGCCACAUUUGCUUUCUGUUUCCUGCUCAUCGAUGGAGUUGAUUUCUACUAACUCUUUUCUUGAGGAAAGAGCCAAACUGUGAGCAAGCUGACUUUUCUUGAUAGUUUCAUUCUUAUUUUAAUUCGACUAGCAUCGACCCCCUGCACCCCAUUUUGGCUGCCAGAGUGCUGCAGGAAGCCGUCCAGGCCAAAAAUGUUUUGGCUAGCAGAGGGCUAUCAAAAUUAAAAACAAAACAAAAGAAGAAAUGUUUCCCCUUUUGCAUUUGACCAUGCAAGAAGGGGCAGGAAAGGAGAAAGGGAAAGACAAAGAAAAAGAAGAAAAGAUGGGAAGAAAGCAAGGAAGAAAAAAGAAGGAAAGAGGGAAAGGAAGAAGAAAUUGGAAUGAAGAGGAAAGGAAAAAGAAAAAGAAGGAAGGAAGGAAGGAAGGAAGGAGUAUAAUGAGAGUGAGGGAGAGUCUGAGGGAAGUCCCGCCUUAGCACUUGGCCACCAUAGAUGCCCCCCGCCCGACACAAGUCCCAUUCACUCCCACCCCAGCCACUCCCACCCCAGCUACUCCCACCCUGGCCACGACCCCCCCAGCCAGACCCCAGGCCCCACCCCAGCCCUCCGAGGUCAAACACAACCCUGAUGUGGCCCUCAAUGAAAUCGAAUUUGACACUCCUGAUCUAGUUUAUUUUUGCACCACGCAACCAAACAUGUUGAAAAAAAGCCUGAUUUUGAUGCAGAAAAUAUUACAGGUGGUCCUUGACAACCACAAUUGGGACCAGAAUUUCCAAUGCUCACACCUCAUUCGACAAAACCUUUCUUGCCAUGUUGUUAAGUGAACUGCUGCAGUUGUUAAGUGAAUCACCCAGUUGUUAAGCAAAUCCAGCUUUCCCCUUUUGACUUUUCUGGUCGAAAGCUGGAUGGGAAGGUUGCAGAUAGUAAUUACAUGACUCCAGGAUGCUGCAACCGUUGUAAACAUAUGCCAGUUGCCAAGUGCCCAAAUUUUGAUCAUGUGACUCAGUGGUGGGUUGCCCCUGCUUCGCACCAGUUCUAUAGAACCGGUAGUAAAACCAGCGGGAGGCUCCACCCACUGAUCCUGACAUCAUAAAAAUGCUUCUGCGCUUGUGCAGAAGAGCGCGCAAGCAAAGCGCCUGCGCACGGCCCCAUUGCGAAUCAGUAGUAAAGGUAAGUAGAAACCACCCCUGAUGUGACUGUGGGGAUGCUGGGACAGUCAUAAGUGUAAGGUCUUUUAACUUGCAAGUCACUUCUUUCAGUGCCAUUGUAUCUUUGAACAGUCACUAAAUGAAUGAUUGUAAAUCGAGGACUACCUGUAAUCUCAAGGUAUGAAUGCCUUUCAGAAUUUCAGUCUGCAGAGCAGAAUCGUUGAACGACUUUUGAAAUUGGGUUGCCGGUCAUUACCAUUGUGCGUGGUGCCAUUCAAGAUGGCAAAAGUAAUUUUGGCAUGGGUACCGUUGCUGUGAGGGACGCGAUGGCUCAGCAGUUAAAGAUGCUGAGCUUGUCACCUGGAGAGCUGACAGCCUGGGUUCAAGACCCAAGCGCCACACAACGAGGUGAACUUUGUGAGGAGGUAAGCCACCGUGAACACACUUUGACACUCAUAUUUAUAUGUUUCCUACCUUGUCCAACAGGAAAAUUGAGAAAAUUGAGUUGAUUUUCUUCCUGUCUUGCUUUUUUAAGGUGCAACUUUCACAACCAUAGGCAGUUACAGGGAACACAAUAGAAUGGACUAACCUACAUUUGGUUACCAGGCUGAUGUCCUUGCUUUUCUGUAUUCGGCUCAUAUUUAUCAUUGCUAUGCAACCCAGUGCAAUCCCAUGGUUUUAUUUCUGGGCUGCAUUGACUACUUCGAGUGAUCUGUGAUCCUAGGAAUUAUCUCAGUGUCUUCAGUUUCUUCACUGUCAAUUUCCAUUUUAAUCUUUCCAUUCCUUCCAGUGGUCAUGAGUGGUCAUGAUAGGUCAUGAUAAUGAAGUAAAACUAAUUAAUAAAGUGUUAUGGGAUAGCUUUGCUUGUUGCACAUAUGUGACUGUCAUGUAACUUUGUAAUCAAUCGGCAAUUUCAUUUUGUUUCUUGUGAUACUUUCUGUACAAAUAACUGAGCCCGAUUUUUACUGGGCUCCUUGAGAGUGAAGCCCCAAUGGUUCUGGACAGAAAUAAAAGAGUUUUUUUUCUUUUCUG